rnacentral:rRNA from 1 species
CGUCCAGACUCCUACGGGAGGCAGCAGUGGGGGAUAUUGCACAAUGGGGGAAACCCUGAUGCAGCGACGCCGCGUGAGUGAAGAAGUAUUUCGGUAUGUAAAGCUCUAUCAGCAGGGAAGAAAAUGACGGUACCUGACUAAGAAGCCCCGGCUAACUACGUGCCAGCAGCCGCGGUAAUACGUAGGGGGCAAGCGUUAUCCGGAUUUACUGGGUGUAAAGGGAGCGUAGACGGCAUGGCAAGUCAGAUGUGAAAGCCCGGGGCUCAACCCCGGGACUGCAUUUGAAACUGUCAGGCUGGAGUGCAGGAGAGGUAAGUGGAAUUCCUAGUGUAGCGGUGAAAUGCGUAGAUAUUAGGAGGAACACCGGCGGCGAAGGCGGCCUGCUGGACCGCGACUGACGUUGAGGCUCGAAAGCGUGGGGAGCGAACAGGAUUAGAUACCCGUGUAUA